UACGUAGGGUGCAAGCGUUAAUCGGAAUUACUGGGCGUAAAGCGUGCGCAGGCGGUUUUGUAAGCCAGAUGUGAAAUCCCCGGGCUUAACCUGGGAAUGGCAUUUGGGACUGCAAGGCUGGAGUGCGGCAGAGGAGACUGGAAUUCCUGGUGUAGCAGUGAAAUGCGUAGAUAUCAGGAGGGAUACCGAUGGCGAAGGCAGGUCUCUGGGCUGACGCUGACGCUCAUGCACGAAAGCGUGGGGAGCAAACAGG
rnacentral:rRNA from 1 species